UAUUGUUAACUUCUUAGUCCUUUGAAGAAAAAUCAAAUUUUUUCUUAAGAAGAGACUUUUGAAACUCACAAUAUGAAUUCAAGAAGCAAAAAAGAAAAUCGAAUUUCACAAAUGGGAUACCAAUAGCUUGGAAAAAUCCAUUGCUUUUGCAGGGUUUGUUAUUGAGGGAACCCUGCCUUUCCCAGCAUCCUUAACAUUUCUUCCUCAAAUAAAAGGGCACAUUGAUUUGAAUAGUUAAAGAUUUGUCUCAUUUCCUUGCCAAGGAGGAUUAUGUUUCCAGCUUUUUGUUAAUUCUGGGCAUUUCAACCACUGCUUCUGAUAACAUCCUGCUUUACUGUGCUAGGCAUUCCUUGGACCCAGGACUGGGAGUGGGGUUUAAUCUGGACUGAAUUGGAGGAAAGGAACUGGCACCAGAGUGGAGGCUGGAAGGAUGGUGGAACUGACACUGGGACAGAACACAGAAAACAGAAUCUAAUGCUA
rnacentral:lncRNA from 1 species